rnacentral:rRNA from 1 species
UAGGGAAUCUUCCGCAAUGGGCGAAAGCCUGACGGAGCAACGCCGCGUGAGUGAUGAAGGUCUUCGGAUCGUAAAACUCUGUUCUUAGGGAAGAACAAAUGUGUAAGUAACUAUGCACGUCUUGACGGUACCUAAUCAGAAAGCCACGGCUAACUACGUGCCAGCAGCCGCGGUAAUACGUAGGUGGCAAGCGUUAUCCGGAAUUAUUGGGCGUAAAGCGCGCGUAGGCGGUUUUUUAAGUCUGAUGUGAAAGCCCACGGCUCAACCGUGGAGGGUCAUUGGAAACUGGAAAACUUGAGUGCAGAAGAGGAAAGUGGAAUUCCAUGUGUAGCGGUGAAAUGCGCAGAGAUAUGGAGGAACACCAGUGGCGAAGGCGACUUUCUGGUCUGUAACUGACGCUGAUGUGCGAAAGCGUGGGGAUCAAACAGG